AGCUGAUGGGAAGGGACACAUGAAAAGGGUCAUCAGGCACAGAGCAAAGCAACACUGGGGAGACCUGCUACAUACUCAGAUAAGGGCAGCUAUCUCUGCCUGCAAACAGAUGGACUGGCACCCAACACUGAAGAUCCGGUAAGGGUUCAUCUGUGCAUCUGCAGAGUGAAGUCACAGUGCAACGCCCGUGGGUGCGUUCGGUACCGUGCGCCCAGUUCAGGAGGAAAACUCCUUUGUGUGACUGGUGGGUCUCUGGGGCUGCAAACUGCUGGAGUACGUGUAAGCACAGAGGCAUUUGGGAAGAUGUACGUGGCCCAGAGAAGGGCUACGAGCUGGUGAAGGGCCUGGAGCACAAGUCCUGUGAGGAGCGGCUGAGGGACCUGGGGGUGUUCAGUCUGGAGAAGAGGAGGCUCAGGGCAGACCUUAUCGUUCUCUGCAACUGCCUGAAAGGAAGGUGUGGGGAGCUGGGGGUCGGCCUCUUCUCGCAGAUAACUAGUGAUAGGACUAGAGGGCAUGGCCUCAAGUUGUGCCAGGGGAAACAAGGAGACAUUUCUUCUCAUAAAGAGCAGUCAGGCAUUGGGAUGGGUUGCCCAGGGAGGUGGUGGCAUCACUGUCCCUGGGGGUGUUCAAGGAAAGGUUGGACGUGGUGCUUAGGGACAUGGUUCAGUGGGUGACAUUGGUGAUAGGGGGAUGGUUGGACCAGAUGAUCCUGGAGGGUUUUUCCAACCAAUUCUAUAAUUCUAUGAUUCUGUGAAGCUGACCUAAGGCAGAUCUACUGUUCCGUAAUUCCAAUUCUCCUCUUUACUCUUGUUUUCAUUUUCUAUACUUUCUUUUUGCUAUUCUUUUUGGAACGAUGUGCCUAUUUUGUCAUUAUCUUAUUCAAAUCAAUAACUCAACUUUUUUGUUGUUAAUGGAAAUGUGCUGUUGGUGAUGUAUGUACUAAUUCAGAUGUUGGCACCUGGGCAAAUACUAGUUUCAACGUAGGUUUCCUAUACAUUACAAAAGUAAGGACUAAGAAACCACAGUAAUUUUUCAGAAUUUGUGAGUAUAUUUUUUCACCAAAAAGCAAUCUUCCCUGUAGGUGGAAAAACAAACAAAAAAACCCCACAACUUAAUCCAAACUUACUUUGAUCUCUUCCCACUUGUUUUUCCUCUUAAUAACAUGCAACCUACACUUCAGUAGUGCCAGCAGUGCUGCUGUCUGGCACUUCAUUCCCCUACUCCAGAACACUUGGGUAAGUAGGUACCCAGGAAAAGCCAAUCUUAGCAACAUCUCAGUAAGUAUCAUUCAUGUGUAUAUAUUAAAGAAACCCCAACAACCUAAUCUCUGAAGUGUUCCUCUGAUAUACUUGUGGUAUCUGUGAGAGUUGAGGACACUUACUAUAGUUGCAUAGAAGAACAUUUGAAAUCAAAACUCAUGGGUUCAGUGAGGAUGAGUUUUAAUAAAGUCUGUAGCAUUUUUUCUAUUAUAUAGACU
rnacentral:lncRNA from 1 species